CAACUCCAGGAUUCGUCGAUCA
rnacentral:miRNA from 1 species